rnacentral:rRNA from 1 species
CGGAGGCUACCGCUAUUGGAGUUCGAUUAAGCCAUGCGAGUCGAGAGUCUUAGGGACUCGGCGUACCGCUCAGUAACACGUGGGUAACCUGCCCUAUGCUGGGGAAUAACCUCGGGAAACUGAGAAUAAUGCCCCAUAGUCCACCAUGCCUGGAACGGUUGGUGGAUCAAAGCUCCGGCGGCAUAGGAUGGGCCUGCGGCGUAUCAGGUUGUAGGGGGUGUAAUGUACCCUCUAGCCAUCAACGCGUACGGGUGUUGGGAGACAUAGCCCGGAGAUGGAUUCUGAGACACGAAUCCAGACCCUACGGGGUGCAGCAGGCGCGAAAACUUGGCAAUGCGAGCAAUCGUGACCAGGGAACUCCAAGUGGCUGGGGUAAGACCCAGUCUUUUCUUGACUCUUCAACGGUCUUGGAAUAAGGGGUGGGUAAGGACGGUGCCAGCCGCCGCGGUAAUACCGGCGCCUCAAGUGGUAGUCGAUUUUAUUGGGCCUAAAACGUCCGUAGCCUGUUUGGUACAUUCGUGGGUAAAUCAACCAGCUCAACUGAUUGAAUUCUGCGAGCACGGCCAGACUUGGGACCGGGAGAGGUGUGGGGUACGCUCAGGGUAGGGGUAAAAUCCUGUCAUCCUGAGCGGACCACCUGUUGCGAAGGCGCCACACUAGAACGGAUCCGACGGUCAGGGACGAAGCCUAGGGGCACGAACCGGAUUAGAUACCCGGGUAGUCCUAGGUGUAAACGCUGUGGACUUGGUGUUGGGGAUUCUCCGAGGAUUCUCAGUGCCGAAGCGAAGGUGAUAAGUCCACUGCCUGGGGAGUACGGUCGCAAGGCUGAAACUUAAAGGAAUUGGCGGGG